AUUGAACGCUGGCGGCAGGCCUAACACAUGCAAGUCGAACGAGAGGCGGACGGGUGAGUAAUGUCUGGGAAACUGGCUGAUGGAGGGGGCUAACUACUGGAAACGGUAGCUAAUACCGCAUACCAUCGGAUGUGCCCCGAUGGGAUUAGCUAGUAGGUGGGGUAACGGCUCACCUAGGCGACGAUCCCUAGCUGGUCUUAGAGGAUGAACAGCCAGACUGGAAAUUAGACACGGUCCAGACUCCUACGGGAGGCAGCAGUGGGGAAUAUUGCACAAUGGGCGCAAGCCUGAGGCAGCCAUGCCGCGUGUAUGAAGAAGGCCUUCGGGUUGUAAAGUACUUUCAGUCAGGAGGCGUUACCCGCAGAAGAAGUACCGGCUAACUCCGUGCCAGCAGCCGCGGUAAUAC
rnacentral:rRNA from 1 species